GAUGAAGAACGUAGCGAAAUGCGAUAAGUAGUGUGAAUUGCAGAAUUCAGUGAAUCAUCGAAUCUUUGAACGCACAUUGCGCCUCUUGGUAUUCCAUGGGGCAUGCCUGUUCGAGCGUCAUUUGUACCUUCAAGCUCUGCUUGGUGUUGGGUGUUUGUCUCGCCUCUGCGUGUAGACUCGCCUUAAAACAAUUGGCAGCCGGCGUAUUGAUUUCGGAGCGCAGUACAUCUCGCGCUUUGCACUCAUAACGACGACGUCCAAAAGUACAUUUUUACACUCUUGACCUCGGAUCAGGUAGGGAUACCCGCUGAACUUAAGCAUAUCAAUAAGCGGAGGA
rnacentral:misc_RNA from 1 species